UUGAACGCUGGCGGCAUGCUUUACACAUGCAAGUCGAACGGUAACAGGCCGCAAGGUGCUGACGAGUGGCGAACGGGUGAGUAAUGCAUCGGAACGUGCCCAGUCGUGGGGGAUAACUACUCGAAAGAGUAGCUAAUACCGCAUACGAUCUAUGGAUGAAAGCGGGGGACCGUAAGGCCUCGCGCGAUUGGAGCGGCCGAUGUCAGAUUAGGUAGUUGGUGGGGUAAAGGCUCACCAAGCCAACGAUCUGUAGCUGGUCUGAGAGGACGACCAGCCACACUGGGACUGAGACACGGCCCAGACUCCUACGGGAGGCAGCAGUGGGGAAUUUUGGACAAUGGGCGCAAGCCUGAUCCAGCAAUGCCGCGUGCAGGAAGAAGGCCUUCGGGUUGUAAGCUGCUUUUGUACGGAACGAAACGGCUCUGGUUAAUACCCGGGGCUAAUGACGGUACCGUAAGAAUAAGCACCGGCUAACUACGUG
rnacentral:rRNA from 1 species